AUGUUUUUAAUGGGUCAGAGGAGUUCCUCUGUCUCUGGGAAAUGUCUCCAUUUAUGUUGUGGGUCUCUCCACAGGCAACAUUCAAAUUGGCUUGGUCAACUGAGACUCUGGCUAGAACUGACUUCCCCGCUGACCUGUCCUGCUUUAAGCCAUCGUUCCCUGCUCUAUAGGGGUCAGUUUUCUCAUGGUCUCCUGAUUCUUUUUUCAUUCCAGAGGUGAGUACUUCUUCUCAGAGCCUUCUCCGACCAGAUUGGCUGCCCUCAAACUUCAAUUUGGCUCUGUCUCUUCCUGUCUCCAGCUUGUGCAGGCAAAGAUGUGGUUGCAUCAGCCACAAGUUGUGGAUCACAUCCCCAUGCCCCUUAUGCGAAUAUGAUAAAUGAGAGAGACAGUGGAAUUUUCUUAGG
rnacentral:lncRNA from 1 species